ACGGAAGGCAGCAGUGGGGAAUAUUGCACAAUGGGGGAAACCCUGAUGCAGCAACGCCGCGUGAUCGAAGAAGGCCUUCGGGUUGUAAAGAUCUUUAAUCAGGGACGAAAUAUGACGGUACCUGAAGAAUAAGCUCCGGCUAACUACGUGCCAGCAGCCGCGGUAAUACGUAGGGAGCAAGCGUUAUCCGGAUUUACUGGGUGUAAAGGGCGCGCAGGCGGGCCGGUAAGUUGGAAGUGAAAUCUGGGGGCUUAACCCCCAAACUGCUUUCAAAACUGCUGGUCUUGAGUGAUGGAGAGGCAGGCGGAAUUCCCAGUGUAGCGGUGAAAUGCGUAGAUAUUGGGAGGAACACCAGUGGCGAAGGCGGCCUGCUGGACAUUAACUGACGCUGAGGCGCGAAAGCGUGGGGAGCAAACAGGAUUAGAUACCCUGGUA
rnacentral:rRNA from 1 species